rnacentral:lncRNA from 13 species
AUGAUUGAGAAUAGAAGUGAGAGCAUGUGUACUUCUACUGUUUGCUUUAUUUCCUCAAUUCCAAGCAGAUCAGCCUCCUGAUACAUACUGCUGGUCACAGUAUGUUCUAAGAGCUUCUAAGCUGUUGCAAAUGUUCAAGUACUGGAAACAGGUGCCUGGAUAUACCCCUUGACUUUCAUGGAGCUCAGGAGUCUGGUGGGAGAGACAAAGGCAUUAAGGGUCAGAUAGUUCUGCUUUGGAGACUCCAGCUGACAGAGUUGGGCAAAAACAGAGGAAGGUGAUGGCAUGCUGGCCAGAGAGACAAGAAGCUGUGGAGGUUGACAAUCCAGAGGAGGUCGGUGAUGCUGCACCCAUGGGCAGCAUGGGCAUAAGCAGCUUGAGGGUGUCUACAGCACUGGGAGGCACACCCACAGCGAAUGGGACAGAGGGGCAGUUAGAACUGUGGAAACUGGCUCUGGUUAAAUGUGAAACCAACAUCCAGUAGAAUAGAGUUCCUGCCUUUGGACUCGGAAAUUGGUGGGGCCUGGGGAACAUUGAGGUUGGACAUGUAAAGGUCCCUGCAAAUUCCCAGGAAUAGAGUAGCUGUCACAAGAGGGCUCUUGAGAAAAUCUGAGAUUCCCACCAGUAAGUAUAUUAGGGCAUGGUACAUUGAAAAUUUUGGAUACUUUUGUGAACAUAAGAUAUCAAAACUCCCCAAGAGUAAUGAGUAAAGCCUAGGACAUACUGAUUACUUAAGAAUGAAUUUUUUUAAUCAGAUGAUUUUUAUAGUAAAAAAACAAAAAACCUGAUGACAAAGCAAUAGAAAUAACCAAGCUGACUUCAGACUUCAUUCCAACAAGAACUGGUAGGAGACAAGAAAAGGAAAUCAGUAUGUCAAAGAUACUUCUGCAUCCCCAGGUUUAUUGUAGCACUAUUCACAAUAGCCAAGAUGUGGACUCAACCCAGAUGUCCAACAACAGAUGCAUGGAUAAAGAAAAUGUGGAAUAUACACAUAAAGGGAUACUGCUGAGCCAUAAAAAGAAUGAAAUCCUGCCAUUCACCGCAAUGUGGACAAGACUGGAGGAGGUUAUGAGUGAAGUCAGCCAAGAACAGAAAGCAGGCCUUAGCCAACGGGAAUUCUGA